rnacentral:misc_RNA from 1 species
AUUAAAUCAUUUUAUAGCAUUCUAUAUUAACAAUAAAAAUCAUACAAUAUGAAACUGUACGAUAUGAUACAUUAUACGAUACAUUAAUAAAUUAUGCUCCAUUCAUUCCAAAUUCAGUGUUAAUAUGCAAACAAGUUCACUUCCUUUUUCAUUUGAGUUGGUAGUUGCCACCAAGUUGGUGAAGAAUGGGAAAGAAAGAAGUACAAAGUGUAAAGCUUCAGUAAAUAUCAUCCUAAGUGUAACAUGACAAUCUCAAUUUUUAUGGCUUUGACUAGACCUCAUCGUUUUCCUUGUAAGGCAAGCAACAUGAACAUCUUACCGCGGUGGAAUGCCAUCAUCUAAUGAUUCUUCCGCGGACGAAAGCAUUCUUCUUCAAGUCCAGGUACUUUGGGGUUUGAACUUUGAAGCUUAUUCUCUUUUGCAAUAUUUGGGCACACCUCUUUCUUAAUGGAGGUUGGCCUCUGUUCAUCAAUAAGAUCAACAGAUAAAAUCCCAACUGUCCUUAACCUUUAACUUUGUUAGGAGAGAUGCUAACUAUGCUCAAUUUACUGUCUAUUUUGUAUAUAUUUUUAAAAUUUGGUAUAUGUUUUUAA